AGGAUACCAAGUUCCUCCUUUGGGGCCAGUAAGAAAGCAUCAGCCUCUGUCUCUUCUUCCUCUCUGUCCUGCGUCCGUGUGAAAGAAUUGCUGGGAUGCAUCUGCCAUUAAUUCGCAUAAAUUCUACCUCAAGAAUUGUACCAGAUGUCACAACCAAGUUGAGGAUUAUUCAUCAAGAAUCCUAUACUUGGGGAUCCUGUAGACUUUUGUAAAUAUAAAAAUUCAAGUUUUUAAAAUUCUAAAAUAGUAGUUGUUGAUAGAGAAAACAUUUCCAUUUUUGUAUGCUUAUAUGCUAUACCUCUUCUUUUGAUCUGGUCUUGAAGAAGUCUCUUUCAAACACUCCUUUCCGGGCAAAAAUGGUAGGAUAUAGUAGUGAAUAUGCACUACCUUCUUCACCAUAAUUAGUUCUGUCACUGAUGCGACGAAUUCGGGGAGCAGGAAUGUCAGAUCGAAUGGUUGGAACACCACAAAUGGGGUAACCUAGGUCAUUGAUGAGGGAAGAAAACAGACAUUCUAAAACAAAGCUGUGUAACACAGUAGCCACCAGUCACAUGUGCAUACUGAGCACUUAAAAUGUAGCUAGGAAGAAUUUUGGUGUAUUCCAAAUGUAAAAUUCAAACAUUUUAGUAA
rnacentral:lncRNA from 1 species